rnacentral:pre_miRNA from 1 species
GGAUACUGUGUGCAUGUCUUGAUACACGGUAGAAAAUCACAGCAAAACAAAUAGUAAUUUACUUUGAUUGUGAUUUUUACCGUGUAUCCAAACAUUCAUCAAAUUAGUUUUUGUCC